rnacentral:rRNA from 1 species
UACGAAGGACCCAAGCGUUAUCCGGAUUUAUUGGGUUUAAAGGGUGCGUAGGCGGGUUGUUAAGUCAGUGGUGAAAGCUCCGAGCCUAACUCGGAAACUGCCAUUGAUACUGACGAUCUUGAGUACAUUUGAGGUGGGCGGAAUGUGUCAUGUAGCGGUGAAAUGCUUAGAUAUGACACAGAACACCGAUUGCGAAGGCAGCUCACGAAACUGUAACUGACGCUGAGGCACGAAAGCGUGGGGAGCAAACAGG